rnacentral:rRNA from 1 species
AUAUUCCUGUACCGAUUCUAGAUGCGAUGUGGGGACGGAGAAGGUUAGGUCAGCCAACUGUUGGAAUAGUUGGUUUAAGCGUGUAGGCGUGCCCCUUAGGCAAAUCCGGGGGGCUUAGCUGAGGCGUGACGACGAGGUCUCUUUGAGACCGAAGUGAUUGAUACCCUGCUUCCAGGAAAAGCCACUAAGCUUCAGUCUAGAAUUGACCGUACCGCAAACCGACACAGGUGGGCAGGUAGAAGAUACUAAGGCGCUUGAGAGAACUCAGGAGAAGGAACUCGGCAAAUUGAUACCGUAACUUCGGGAGAAGGUAUGCCCUGGUAGCUUGUAGGAGAACAUCCGAAGGGCGACGGGGCCGCAGAGAAUCGGUGGCUGCGACUGUUUAUUAAAAACACAGCACUCUGCAAACACGAAAGUGGACGUAUAGGGUGUGACGCCUGCCCGGUGCCGGAAGGUUAAGUGAUGGGGUGCAAGCUCUUGAUCGAAGCCCCGGUAAACGGCGGCCGUAACUAUAACGGUCCUAAGGUAGCGAAAUUCCUUGUCGGGUAAGUUCCGACCUGCACGAAUGGCGUAACGAUGGCCACACUGUCUCCUCCUGAGACUCAGCGAAGUUGAAGUGUUUGUGAAGAUGCAAUCUCCCCGCGGCUAGACGGAAAGACCCCAUGAACCUUUACUGUAGCUUUGCAUUGGACUUUGACGGGACUUGUGUAGGAUAGGUGGGAGGCGCUGAGACCAGGACGCUAGUUCUGGUGGAGCCGUCCUUGAAAUACCACCCUGGUGUCGUUGAGGUUCUAACCUAGGUCCAUCAUCUGGAUCGGGGACCGUGCAUGGUAGGCAGUUUGACUGGGGCGGUCUCCUCCCAAAAGGUAACGGAGGAGUACGAAGGUCUUCUAGGUACGGUCGGACAUCGUACUGAUAGUGCAAUGGCAAAAGAAGGCUUGACUGCGAGACCGACAAGUCGAGCAGGUGCGAAAGCAGGUCAUAGUGAUCCGGUGGUUCUGUAUGGAAGGGCCAUCGCUAAACGGAUAAAAGGUACUCUGGGGAUAACAGGCUGAUUCCGCCCAAGAGUUCACAUCGACGGCGGAGUUUGGCACCUCGAUGUCGGCUCAUCACAUCCUGGGGCUGUAGCCGGUCCCAAGGGUAUGGCUGUUCGCCAUUUAAAGUGGUACGUGAGCUGGGUUUAAAACGUCGUGAGACAGUUUGGUCCCUAUCUGCCGUGGGCGCUGGAUAUUUGAGGGGGCCUGCUCCUAGUACGAGAGGACCGGAGUGGACGGAUCUCUGGUGUACCGGUUGUGACGCCAGUCGCAUCGCCGGGUAGCUAAAUCCGGAAGAGAUAACCGCUGAAAGCAUCUAAGCGGGAAACUCGCCUCGAGAUGAGAUAUCCCUGGGAACUUGAUUCCCCUGAAGGGUCGUCGAAGACCACGACGUUGAUAGGUCGGGUGUGGAAGC